UAAUGAUACUAUUAUUGUACACUGUGUAGAUGAUUCUGGACGGUGGGGGUGUGGUGGUUUAUUCUCGGCUAUAUCAACACGCUCAAUGCAACCAGAGACCUACUAUAAGGAAGCAAGUAAAAUGAGAGAUUUGUCCUUGAGUGAUGUGCAUGUAAUACCAAUUGAUGAUAUCAUGAGUAGAGAUCAAGGCAGAGAUAUGUUGGCACUAAUUGUUGCCCAGUCAAGGGAUUCUAGUGCACGGUGGCCUGUCGGGGAUUAAGUUACCUUCUCUCAGUAUUGGCUUACAAAGAAUCAGCAGCUUAGCAUUGAAGCUGAAUGAUAACACCUAGUAGAAAUUACAUGUACAUAUCCAUGACUUCGCCUUUACAUCUGUACAAUUAAAUGCACACA